rnacentral:piRNA from 1 species
UGUGAUACAAUUUCUAAGGCUGUUUAGU